GACGAACGCUGGCGGCGUGCUUAACACAUGCAAGUCGAACGGUAAGGCUCCAGCUUGCUGGGGUACACGAGUGGCGAACGGGUGAGUAACACGUGGGUGACCUGCCCUGCACUUCGGGAUAAGCCUGGGAAACUGGGUCUAAUACCGGAUAGGACCAUGGUGUGGAUACUGUGGUGGAAAGUUUUUUCGGUGUGGGAUGGGCCCGCGGCCUAUCAGCUUGUUGGUGGGGUAAUGGCCUACCAAGGCGGCGACGGGUGGCCGGCCUGAGAGGGUGGACGGCCACAUUGGGACUGAGACACGGCCCAGAAUCGUACGGGAGGCAGCAGUGGGGGAUAUUGCACAAUGAGCGGAAGCCUGAUGCAGCGACGCCGCGUGGGGGAUGACGGCCGUCGGGUUGUAAACUCCUUUCACCAGCGACGAAGAGUUUCUGACGGUAGAUGGAGAAGAAGCACCGGCGAACUACGUG
rnacentral:rRNA from 1 species